UACGAAGGGGGCUAGCGUUGCUCGGAAUCACUGGGCGUAAAGGGUGCGUAGGCGGGUCUUUAAGUCAGGGGGGAAAUCCUGGAGCUCAACUCCAGAACUGCCUUCGAUACUGAGAGUCUCGAGUCCGGGAGAGGUGAGUGGAACUGCGAGUGUAGAGGUGAAAUUCGUAGAUAUUCGCAAGAGCACCAGUGGCGAAGGCGGCUCACUGGCCCGGUACUGACGCUGAGGUGCGAAAGCGUGGGGAGCAAACAGG
rnacentral:rRNA from 1 species